rnacentral:rRNA from 1 species
AACGAACGCUGGCGGCAUGCCUAACACAUGCAAGUCGAACGAUCCCUUCGGGGGUAGUGGCGCACGGGUGCGUCACGCGUCGGAACCUGCCCUUAGGUUCGGAAUAACUCAGAGAAAUUUGAGCUAAUACCGGAUAAUGUCUUCGGACCAAAGAUUUAUCGCCUUUGGAUGGGCCCGCGUUGGAUUAGCUCGUUGGUGGGGUAAAAGCCUACCAAGGCGACGAUCCAUAGCUGGUCUGAGAGGAUGAGCAGCCACACUGGGACUGAGACACGGCCCAGACUCCUACGGGAAGCAGCAGUGGGGAAUAUUGGACAAUGGGCGGAAGGAUGAUCCAGCAAUGCCGCGUGAGUGAUGAAGGCCGGAGGGUUGUAAAGCUCGUUUACCCGGGAUGAUAAUGACAGUACCGGGAGAAUAAGCCCCGGCUAACUCCGUG